rnacentral:rRNA from 1 species
AUUGAACGCUGGCGGCACGCCUUACACAUGCAAGUCGAACGGUAACAGGUCUUCGGAUGCUGACGAGUGGCGAACGGGUGAGUAAUACAUCGGAACGUGCCUAGUAGUGGGGGAUAACUACUCGAAAGAGUGGCUAAUACCGCAUGAGAUCUAGGGAUGAAAGCAGGGGAUCGCAAGACCUUGUGCUACUAGAGCGGCCGAUGGCAGAUUAGGUAGUUGGUGGGAUAAAAUCUUACCAAGCCGACGAUCUGUAGCUGGUCUGAGAGGACGAUCAGCCACACUGGGACUGAGACACGGCCCAGACUCCUACGGGAGGCAGCAGUGGGGAAUUUUGGACAAUGGGCGCAAGCCUGAUCCAGCAAUGCCGCGUGCAGGAUGAAGGCCUUCGGGUUGUAAACUGCUUUUGUACGGAACGAAAAGCCCUGGGUUAAUACCCUGGGGUCAUGACGGUACCGUAAGAAUAAGCACCGGCUAACUACGUGCCAGCCGCCGCAGUAACAC